GUACUAUGUAUGCCCAAUAGUAUAACAGUGUUGAAAAGAUUGCACUCCUUGGUUGGAAACCAGGAGUCAUUCGUCAUGCUUGUGCACCUAUGUUUUUUAUAGUCACUGUGCUUAACUUACUCAUUUUCUUUCUUCUAGAAUGGUUUCCUGGGGAAAACAGCACUGCUGUGUUGGCAGAAUACAGCACGUUUUAUUGAGAUUCAGGAUUGCUCUAGCAGUCCUUUUACUUCAUUUGUUCCUGGCUACAGCAGGCAAAGAUCACGAGGAUUUCCUAGGACGAUACAAAGCAGUAUUUAAGACCGAAUGUGAAGAUCCUUGGAUUAUGUCACCAAGAAUUUCUCUGCUUUCCUUGAGAGAAUUCACUGUUUGUGUGAGCCUCAAGCUAAAUUCCUCGAGGAGUCCCUGGACAGCAUAUGUGUACAAUCAAGAAACACCUACCAGCAAUCUCUCUGCAAAUAAGUAUGAUCUUGGACUUACCGGAGAUCGUGGUAAAUUGGGGAUAUGGUUGUUUGGAAAUCAAAUAAAUAUGACAGCAGUGCUUCAUGAAAAUACCUGGCAUCAAAUAUGUAUCCAGUGGAAAAGUGAAGACAAGGAGGUAAAGUUAUUCAUAAAUGGAACAAAAAAAGGAAACAAGAAGCUACCUGAAAAAAUGGAUCUCCCUGGAAAAGGGCAGUUUUUACUCGGCUGUGCAAGGCUGCCAGGUACAGCGACGUCACCUAACCUGGGUAUGGCUGGGGAGCUGUACAUGUUCAGAAUGUGGGAUAAAGCAAAUAUAAAACUUGCCAAGGACUGCAGAGAUGGUAGUGUUGUGCGCUGGAGAAAGGAGGAUUGGGUCUAUAAUACGACAAUAGAAGAGGAUAACUCUUUGCCAUGUGAUACAGGAAGAAACCACCAGACCAGCAGUUCUACAUUCAGGAGAAUCAGCUGCAACAACCAGUUCUGA
rnacentral:lncRNA from 1 species